GAUGAAGAACGCAGCGAAAUGCGAUAAGUAAUGUGAAUUGCAGAAUUCCGUGAAUCAUCGAAUCUUUGAACGCACAUUGCGCCCCCUGGCAUUCCGGGGGGCAUGCCUGUCCGAGCGUCAUUUCUGCCCUCAAGCACGGCUUGUGUGUUGGGUGUGGUCCCCCCGGGGACCUGCCCGAAAGGCAGCGGCGACGUCCGUCUGGUCCUCGAGCGUAUGGGGCUCUGUCACUCGCUCGGGAAGGACCUGCGGGGGUUGGUCACCACUAUAUUUUACCACGGUUGACCUCGGAUCAGGUAGGAGUUACACGCUGAACUUAAGCAUAUCAAUAAGCGGAGGA
rnacentral:misc_RNA from 1 species